rnacentral:rRNA from 1 species
GACGAACGCUGGCGGCGUGCCUAAUACAUGCAAGUCGAGCGGAACUGGGGGAGCUUGCUCCUUCCAGUUUAGCGGCGGACGGGCGAGUAACACGUGGGCAACCUGCCCUGCAGAUCGGGAUAACUCCGGGAAACCGGUGCUAAUACCGAAUAGUUUGGCGCCUCUCCUGAGGCGCUACGGCAAGACGGUUUCGGCUGUCACUGCAGGAUGGGCCAGCGGCGCAUUAGCUAGUUGGUGGGGUAACGGCCCACCAAGGAGACGAUGCGUAGCCGACCUGAGAGGGUGACCGGCCACACUGGGACUGAGACACGGCCCAGACUCCUACGGGAGGCAGCAGUAGGGAAUCUUCCGCAAUGGACGCAAGUCUGACGGAGCAACGCCGCGUGAGUGACGAAGGUUUUCGGAUCGUAAAACUCUGUUGUGAGGGAAGAACACGUACCAACUAACUAUUGGUACCUUGACGGUACCUCACCAGAAAGCCACGGCUAACUACGUGCCAGCCGCCGCCGUAA